GAUGAACGCUAGCUACAGGCUUAACACAUGCAAGUCGAGGGGCAGCAUUUUAGUUUGCUUGCAAACUAAAGAUGGCGACCGGCGCACGGGUGAGUAACACGUAUCCAACCUGCCGAUAACUCGGGGAUAGCCUUUCGAAAGAAAGAUUAAUAUCCGAUAGUAUAUUAAAACCGCAUGGUUUUACUAUUAAAGAAUUUCGGUUAUCGAUGGGGAUGCGUUCCAUUAGUUUGUUGGCGGGGUAACGGCCCACCAAGACUACGAUGGAUAGGGGUUCUGAGAGGAAGGUCCCCCACAUUGGAACUGAGACACGGUCCAAACUCCUACGGGAGGCAGCAGUGAGGAAUAUUGGUCAAUGGACGAGAGUCUGAACCAGCCAAGUAGCGUGAAGGAUGACUGCCCUAUGGGUUGUAAACUUCUUUUAUAUGGGAAUAAAGUAUUCCACGUGUGGGAUUUUGUAUGUACCAUAUGAAUAAGGAUCGGCUAACUCCGUGCCAGCAGCCGCGGUAAUACGGAGGAUCCGAGCGUUAUCCGGAUUUAUUGGGUUUAAAGGGAGCGUAGGUGGAUUGUUAAGUCAGUUGUGAAAGUUUGCGGCUCAACCGUAAAAUUGCAGUUGAAACUGGCAGUCUUGAGUACAGUAGAGGUGGGCGGAAUUCGUGGUGUAGCGGUGAAAUGCUUAGAUAUCACGCAGAACCCCGAUUGCGAAGGCAGCCUGCUAGGGUGCGACAGACGCUGAGGCACGAAAGCGUGGGUAUCGAACAGG
rnacentral:rRNA from 1 species